GAUAUGCAAUUUUUCUGCUUUGCACUAUAUUUCAUUAAAUAUUGCUGUGGCUGGAUUCUGUAUAACAGAAAAAGACCAUAGAAGGUGUGGAAAAAACGUGGGUUGCUGUACCUAGUAGUCCCAGCCUCUGUCUUUUUUACCUCGUGGCCGUCAGAGUGACCGGCAGUGAAAAAAGAAGUCUGCUUGAGCUGACCCAGUUCUCUAAACAAGGUCAAGCCCAAAGUCAAAGCCUAGUGCAAGUGCCAAGUGCGGCUCAAAGUGACCAUUGAAUUUGAGUGGACGCGCCAGUUAUAUAUCGCCAAUACUGGGGCAGCCGUUCGACCAUUUGGAAACGAGCGCCCCCAGUGUAUCAACAUUUUUCGAAACAGUGGUGCAAUUCUGUUGAGGAUUAGCACCACUAGUAUCUACGUAUUGAAACGCUGGUCUAGAAGAUACGGAUUGGUUAUUCCCGGAGACCUCUUGGCCACGUGCCCGUACCACCGUUCGGUAGCCGAGGGCAUGGACUUGCUCCUCAAGUAAACCCGAUCGGUGUGCUCUGCAAUCUUCGCCUGGACACGUUCGACCCAUGGGGAUGAGCUGAGUGACUCUUCAAAUAAACCAGUCCCCCCCCACGAGCAAUCCAGUGGGCGAGGGUACCUAACCUCACGCCGCAGAUGGACCGCGGUCAUUGACCCCUGGCAUCGGAAGCAGCUGAUGUUACCUGCGCCCGGUACAAUCGUGUGCCACCUUCAGACCUCGAGUAGGAACUCGGUCUCCAGCCGGGAAGCAUCGAACCCGCAUCGGAUUUAGUUAUAUUCUCUAUCUUUCUUU